GGAUGACCAAUCAGGGCAAGUUCUGGAGUGCCCUAGCAGAAGAGAGUCUUGUGACCUGGACACCAUCUUGAACAGAAUGGCUGCUGCUAGAUUUCAAAACAAGGUCAGUAGAGUUGGCAGAUGGAUGACAUAUCUGUGGGUGGCAAAGGGAUUACGGUUUAAGAUUGUGGAUUUUUUAAAAUGGACUUUUGAUACUGAAUUCGGACACCUGUUUUCCUGAACUAUGCCUGUGCAACUCUUCUGAUGAUGCCUUAGACACAACUACAGACAUACCAUCAGGAGAACCACUACAGAAACAGGAAGAUGCUCUGAGACCUUUAACAACAAUGCUACCUCUAAGCAAAAGAAAACCACAGACAAAGCAUCAGAGCACAGCUCAUUGUUCAGAUGCAUCAAGCCAAAGGACUAAACAAAAAACUCAAGUAGAAAGAAACAAUGAAAACACAUCUCCAAUGUCUCAGUGGUUGACACUGCAUAAAGCCCUCAGAAAACUAAGAGUAAAAACACAAAGGUUCUCAAACCCAAAGCAUGUGCUUUAGAGAUUAUGAACAAAAAAACAAGAACUGAAAGUUCAUGCAAUGCAGGGGUAUGUCCUUAUGAAGUCUCUGACAUUUUAAUGAACUAUUCUCAUACUUCAGUAAGACUGAGUCCUCAGGGGUACUAACAGAAAAGAUAACUGGAGACUAUAUGAAAAUUCAAAAGACUCUUGUGACUGACUGAAAAAUUCUUCCGUUUCCCAGGAGAUGGUCCUGGUUCUGAGAAGGCAUGACCAGGCUUGGAAAGGGAUAAAGGCAGGGGGCUGACAGAAUUGCUAGGCCCCUAGACCCCUAGACAGGGUGAGUGGAACCCAAAUCCCCUUCCAGGCUCCGCCCCUUCUAUCAAAUUUGCAGGUCAUGAAAUAUUACAGGAUCAGCCACAUUUGUCAUUUCAUGUUUGGAGAGCAGUGCAGGAUUCAUACUUUCAGGCAAAGAUGGUGUGUAUACAUCUUUGCAAAGACAGUUGAAAAACAAUGUAAAACAAAGUUGGAAGCCCAUUGUAUGAUGGCACAGAGAAAACUGCAUCAUUGGACAGUGCUCCUGCCCCCACAAUGCACUGCAAUCCAUUCUUGUAAUUCCUGGUGGCAGAACAUGCUGGGUUGGGCAGUGAAAUAGCUACCCACAGUACACUGCUUUCUCUGUUAAUGCCAGAGCACUGGAUCUGGGCAUGUUCCACUGACACAAGAAGCAACAUGUGAAAUUGCACAGGCAAAAUAAUUUCAGCAGUUUAUGAUCGUUGACAGAACUUGUUGACAUAACUCUGUAGUGUAGACAUAGCCUAAGAGGUAUUGACUGGCUUAAAAAGCCUAUUGUUUCAUCCCAGGUCUACACUACAAAUUCUGUCAGUAAAACUGUGUUGCUCAGGGAUAUGGAAAAGCCAUGUUAUACUGACUAAGCUCCGAGUAGACAGCACUAUGUCAAGGAGAGGUUUUCUCCCAUUAGUAUAGCUACCACCACUUUGUAAGUUGGAAUGCCUACUUCCAUAAGAAAAGGGCAAAGGUAAAAAUCUUCACUAAGCCCUACAGCAGUGUAGCUGCACCAGCUCAGGGCAUAAGUAUAGGCAUGCCACAAACAGACAAUGGAGACAAAAGGUAGGUGGGAAAACAGAACCCCAGAGAGGUGAAGUGAGUUGCUCAAGGUAAGACCCCAGGUCAGUGACAACCAAGAAAAGAACCCAGGUCUCUUGAUUCCCCAUCCAGUGGGGUCUCCUUUAGACCACACAAUGUUUCCAAGUUUGUCCUAUCCUAAAUGUUGUACUAUCAGGAUCUCAUCUGAACCUAUCUAAGCAGACUUCUCCAAUCCCCUUAAUUCUUUUAACAUCAGUGCUGGGGUACCUUAUGGGGAAUUGGACAACACUACCCCUUCCAAUGUAAAGACAUAGCAACUAGUGUGGUUGAAAACCUAACUCAUCCAAAUAAGAAGUUGAAAUAAAAGUUGGCAAUUAUUAUUUAUAAUGAUGAAAGCAGCUAAACUAAAUAAUGAUGAUUGAUGGUAGGUACUUGUGUAAUACUGUAUCUUGUUCAUUGGCCUGGAACAUAUUAAUAUCUCAUUCACUCUUCAUUUAAAAACUAAAAAGAAAUUGCAGUGAAUUACAAAAUAAGAUAUAAACAUGAUUUUGUUAGUAGGGGAAAAAGGAGGGGAGGAUUUACUUGAAAGAGUUUAAAUAAUGAAUUCUCAACCUGCAAUUCCAGCAGUUCCUGGUUGUGUCAUGAUCACCCAUUCUUUUCUAAGAUUAGAUACAAGGCUCCUGAUUUGU